CUUCUCAGCGUUUUUCUUUCUUUUGCGCUUUCAGUUUGCAUGUCCAUAAAUACACUUCAGAGAUCAUUUUAUUUCUUUAUAUUUAGGCAUUUCUUUUAGAAAUUUGGAGGAAUUUGAUGGUUAUUGACGUCUUUUCAAGUAUUUACUAACUUUUGUACGGGAAGUUAUCUUUCCUUGCCUAUAGAUUCUUCUUUCCUUCUUCCAUUGAAGUUUGGAUUCACCCCAAAAGAAAAGAAAAAAGAAAAAAAGAAGGAAGAAAAGAAAAAGAACUCUAGAAUCUGCUUCAAGAUCAUCUAGGUUAUCUGGUGCCGAAUCAUUGUUGAUUUGAUAGAUGAUUCUUCAUCUUUGAAUGCUACAUUGUUCGAAAAUCAAGCUGAAAAAUUUCUUGGUUGCACUGGAUAUGAGUUGAUGAAUAACUCUGAUGGGGUAAUAUAAUUCUUUACAUAUCUGUUUGAGGAAAUGAGUUGUCAGUUUUAACUUCUUCUUUGAAAAAACAUAUAUAAAUCAAGCAAAUGCUUAUGUGAGUACUAAUUGUGAAUCUUUUUUUUAGGAUACUGUUAAAGAUAUUGAAAAAAUUGCUAUAUUAUCCAGUAGUCAUAAGCUUCUAAUUCAAGUUAAAGCAUCUAAACAUGAAUAUCAUGAUAUUACAAGAUGAAAAUACACAAUUUUUUUCUAUUUAUAAUACUAUUUCAAAAGAAAUCAACACAUUAAUACUAACAAAUGUUUCAAGCAAUGCUGAAGUUAGUCACGUUUUAGAAAUUGUUGAAGAGCAAAGUGGAAAAUCAUUGGACAUAAUUGAAUUGAGAGAUAUGUCUAGAAAUGUUGACGAUGCUAAGAUAGAACAAAUGAGCAAUGAAGAUAAAGUCUUAGCUAAUUUGGUUUCAAAGCCUAUUACAAGAAACAAUGCAACAAAGAAACUAAAGCUAAUGGUUUCCAAAAGCGCAGGUGAGGCAGAACCAAUAG